rnacentral:rRNA from 1 species
AGGGAUGCAGCAGUAGGGAAUCUUGGUCAAUUGGCGAAAGCCAGAACCAGUCAUGCCGCGUGCAGGAUGAAGGCCCUACGGGUCGUAAACUGCUUUUAUUCGGGAAGAAAAAGUCUGUUUCCACAGACCUUGACGGUACCGAUUGAAUAAGGACCGGCCAACUCCGUGCCAGCAGCCGCGGUAAUACGGAGGGUCCAAGCGUUAUCCGGAUUCACUGGGUUUAAAGGGUGCGCAGGCGGCUAAGUAAGUCAGUGGUGAAAGCCUUCGGCUCAACCGGAGAAUUGCCAUUGAAACUACUUAGCUUGAGUGCAGUAGAGGUAGGCGGAAUGUAGCAUGUAGCGGUGAAAUGCAUAGAUAUGCUACAGAACACCGAUAGCGAAAGCAGCUUACCACACUGUAACUGACGCUGAGGCACGAAAGCAUGGGUAGCAAACAGGAUU